rnacentral:rRNA from 1 species
UACGUAGGGGGCAAGCGUUAUCCGGAUUCAUUGGGCGUAAAGAGCGCGUAGGCGGCUUGUUAAGCGAGAUGUGAAAACCGGGGGCUUAACCCGCGGCCUGCAUCUCGAACUGGCAGGCUUGAGUCUGGUAGAGGAGUGUGGAAUUCCCAGUGUAGCGGUGAAAUGCGCAGAUAUUGGGAGGAACACCAGUGGCGAAGGCGGCACUCUGGGCCACGACUGACGCUGAGGCGCGAAAGCUAGGGGAGCAAACCGG